GACGAACGCUGGCGGCGUGCCUAAUACAUGCAAGUAGAACGCACAGUUUAUACCGUAGCUUGCUACACCAUAGACUGUGAGUUGCGAACGGGUUAGUAACGCGUAGUUAACCUGCCUGUUAGCGGGGGAUAACUAUUGGAAACGAUAGCUAAUACCGCAUAAUAUUAAUUAUUGCAUGAUAAUUAAUUGAAAGGUGCAAUUGCACCACUACCAUAUGUACCUGCUUUGUAUUAGCUAGUAGGGGAGGUAACGGCCCACCUAGGCGACGAUACAUAGCCGACUUGGAAGGGAGGACGAGCACACUUGGAAUGGGGAAAGGGCCAGACUCCUACGGGAGGGAGGAGUAGGGAAUCUUCGGAAAUGGAGGGAAGUCUGACUGAGGAAAGGCGCGGGAGUGAAGAAGGUUUUCGGAGUGUAAAGCUACGUUGUAAGAGAAGAACGGGUGUGAGAGUGGAAAGUUCACACUGUGACGGUAUCGUAACAGAAAGGGACGGCUAACUACGUG
rnacentral:rRNA from 1 species